rnacentral:rRNA from 1 species
AUUGAACGCUGGCGGCAGGCCUAACACAUGCAAGUCGAACGAGUGGCGGACGGGUGUGUAAUGCUUGGGAAUCUAGCUUAUGGAGGGGGCUACCUACGGGCAACUUUAGCUAAUACCGCUAACCAUAAGAUGGGCCCAGGUGGGAUUAGGUAGUUGGUGAGGUAAAGGCUCACCACGCCGACGAUCUCUAGCUGGUCUGAGAGGAUGACAGGCCACACGGGGACUGAGACACGGCCCAGACGCCUACGGGAGGCAGCAGUGGGGAAUAUUGCGCAAUGGGGGCAACCUGACGCAGCCAUGCCGCGUGAAUGAAGAAGGCCUUCGGGUUGUAAAGUUCUUUCGGUAGCGAGGCGUUAACUACAGAAGAAGCAACGGCUAACUCCGUGCCAGCCGCCGCGGUAAUUC